GAAGGAGUACAGUUUUUCUUUUUGUUUGAAAUCCAGGAUAAUAGUGUGAAUCUGGUUACUGUUUUUGAUAAUUAGAAUGAAUUUGGUUACUGUUUUUGGUAAUUAGUGUGAAUUUGGUUACUGUUUUUGGUAAUUAGUGUGAAUCUGGUUACUGUUUUUGGUAAUUAGAAUGAAUUUGUUCAUCCAAAACAUGUUUUGAUUUUGGGCAAUAUUUUACUACCACGUGGCGGCAGUACAUCUUAUGAGUGUAGUCUGCCAAUAAACCUCAUAGAUGAAGAAGAAUAACGUUUUCUCACCACCAAAUAUGGUAGUGAGAGGAAGUCCAGUAGUGGGAGAGGAAAGAACUACGUGAAACUCGUCCGAGGGCUGAAUCAUUUUGCACGCCCAAUUUUUCAGUUUUUGAUUUGUUAAAAAAGUUUGAAAUAUCCAAUAAAUGUCGUUCCACUUCAUGAUUGUGUCCCACUUGUUGUUGAUUCUUCACAAAAAAAUACAGUUUUAUAUCUUUAUGUUUGAAGCCUGAAAUGUGGCAAAAGGUCGCAAAGUUCAAGGGGGCCGAAUACUUUCGCAAGGCACUGUAGGCAGGUUACCUUCGCUUUCUUGUGCACAGGGACUAUGGUGGUCUGCUUGUAGAUAUUACAGACUCGGUCAGGUAGAGGUUGAAAAUGCCAGUAAAGACACUUCAAAUUGUAUUUGUCACAUGCGCCGAAUACAACAGGGAAAUGCUUACUUACUAGCCCUAAACCAACAAUGCAGUUUUAAGAAAAAUAACAACAAAAUUAAGAAAUACAAGUAACAAACAACUAAGGAGCAGCAGUAAAAUAACAAUAGAGAGGCUAAAUACAGGGUGUUACGGUACAGAGACAAUGUGGAGGCUAAAUACAGGGUGUUACGGUACAGAGACAAUGUGGAGCCUAUAUACAGGGUGUUACGAUACAGAGACAAUGUGGAGGCUAUAUACAGGUGGUACCAGAACAGAGACAAUGUGGAGCCUAUAUACAGGUGGUACCAGAACAGAGACAAUGUGGAGGCUAUAUACAGGUGGUACCAGAACAGAGACAAUGUGGAGGCUAUAUACAGGGUGUUACGGUACAGAGUCAAUGUGGAGGCUAUAUACAGGUGGUACCAGAACAGAGUCAAUGUGGAGGCUAUAUACAGGUGGUACCAGAACAGAGACAAUGUGGAGGCUAUAUACAGGGGGUACCAGAACAGAGACAAUGUGGAGGCUAUAUACAGGGUGUUACGGUACAGAGACAAUGUGGAGGCUAUAUACAGGUGGUACCAGAACAGAGACAAUGUGGAGGCUAUAUACAGGGUGUUACGGUACAGAGACAAUGUGGAGGCUAUAUACAGGGUGUUACGGUACAGAGACAAUGUGGAGGCUACAUACAGGUGGUACCAGAACAGAGACAAUGUGGAGGCUAUAUACAGGUGGUACCAGUACAGAGUCAAUGUGGAGGCUAUAUACAGGGUGUUACGGUACAGAGACAAUGUGGAGGCUAUAUACAGGGUGUUACGGUACAGAGACAAUGUGGAGGCUAUAUACAGGGUGUUACGGUACAGAGACAAUGUGGAGGCUAUAUACAGGGUGUUACGGUACAGAGACAAUGUGGAGGCUAUAUACAGGGUGUUACGGUACAGAGACAAUGUGGAGGCUAUAUACAGGGUGUUACGGUACAGAGACAAUGUGGAGGCUAUAUACAGGGUGUUACGGUACAGAGACAAUGUGGAGGCUAUAUACAGGGUGUUACGGUACAGAGACAAUGUGGAGGCUAUAUACAGGGUGUUACGGUACAGAGACAAUGUGGAGGCUAUAUACAGGGGGUACCAGAACAGAGUCAAUGUGGAGGCUACAUACAGGGGGUACCAGAACAGAGACAAUGUGGAGGCUAUAUACAGGGAGUACCAGAACAGAGACAAUGUGGAGCCUAUAUACAGGGUGUUACGGUACAGAGACAAUGUGGAGGCUAUAUACAGGUGGUACCAGAACAGAGACAAUGUGGAGGCUAUAUACAGGGGGUACUGGAACAGUGACAAUGUGGAGGCUAUAUACAGGGUGUUACGGUACAGAGACAAUGUGGAGGCUAUAUACAGGGUGUUACGGUACAGAGACAAUGUGGAGGCUACAUACAGGUGGUACCAGAACAGAGACAAUGUGGAGGCUAUAUACAGGGUAUUACUGUACAGAGACAAUGUGGAGGCUAUAUACAGGGGGUACUGGAACAGUGACAAUGUGGAGGCUAAAUACAGGGGGUACCGGUACAGAGACAAUGUGGAGGCUAUAUACAAGGGGUACCGGUACAGAGAAAAUGUGCAGGGGCAUCGGUUAGUCGAGGUAAUUGAGGUAAUAUGUACAUGUAGGUAGAGUUAUUAAAGUGACUAUGCAUAGAUAAUAACAGAGAGUAGCAGCAGCGUAAAAGAGGGGUGGUGUGGGGGGCAAUGCAAAUAGUCUGGGUAGCCAAUUGAUUAGAUGCUCAGGAGUCUUAUGGCUUUGGGGUAGAAGCUGUUUAGAAGCCUCUUGGACCUAGACUUGGCGCUCCAGUACCGCUUGUCGUGCGGUAGCAGAGAGAACAUUCUACGACUAGGGUGGCUGGAGUCGUAGGGCAUUCCUCUGACACCGCCUGGUAUAGAGGUCCUGGAUGGCAGGAAGCUUGGUCCCAGUGAUGUACUGGGCCGUACACACGACCCUCUGUCGUGCCUUGCGGUCGGAGGCUGAGCAGUUGCCAUACCAGGCAGUGAUGCAACCCGUCAGAAUGCUCUCAAUGGUGCAGCUGUAGAACCUUUUGAGGAUUUGAGGACCCAUGCCAAAUGGGCCCUCGCAUGCUCUGAGGACACGUCCUGGUAAUCAGUCUGGCCCCGCAUCCUUGUGAAUGUUGACCUGUUUAAAGGUUUUGCUCACGUCGGCUACAGAGAGCGUGAUCACACAGUCGUCCGGAACAGCCGGUGCUCUCAUGCAUGCUUCAGUGUUGCUUGCCUCGAAGUGAGCAAAAAAGGCUGGUAGGCUCGCGUCACUGGGAAGCUCGCGGCUGGAUUUCCCUGUGUAGUUUACAUAUUUAAUUGUGUCCAUGGAAGUUUUUGUAGGUCAUCUUGUUUUUUGGAGUCCAGCUUUGUUCUUGUUUUUAUUCUGUUCUGAGUUGUUUAAAAAUAAUGUCAUAGGGGACAAAAAGUUGUUUUAUAGUCAUAGUCAUAGUGAUCCAUGUGAGUAUAAAAAACAUAGUGAAAGACUGUCUUGGAAUUUAUACAUCGAAAUCAAUACUUCUCGUCAGGUCCCAUAUUUCUUUAGUUCUGUAGCUAGCAGUUCAAUAAAUGUGCUCUAAACCCUCUUCAUCACUACAAUUAGACAACCGUGGUAUGACAUGGCCUACAAGGAUUGGAGAAGCAGUUUUAGCGUAUCUUCAUACUGUACUGUCUUUGUCACAAUAGACGACUGCAUACAAUGCUUUUGGAGCCAUCAAUACCACAUCAAUAUCGCCAUCUGCCGGCCUUUCGGCUAAGUGGAGCCUAAUGUUCAAGCUUGGCUACUGUGCCCAGAAUGACAAACAAGUUGUUUAUCUAAACGCGUUUCUCUGCGGGCGCGUUGUGUUUUGUCCCUCCGAGUCGCCGUGUGUUUGU
ensembl:lncRNA